CUACUCCUACGGGAGGCAGCAGUGGGGAAUCUUCCGCAAUGGGCGAAAGCCUGACGGAGCAACGCCGCGUGAUCGAAUGAAGGCCUUCGGGUUGUAAAGAUCUGUUGACAGGGCCGAAUAAGCAAUGCGAAUAGUUUUGUGUAUGACGGUACCUGUUUAGAAAGCUCCGGCUAACUACGUGCCAGCAGCCGCGGUAAUACGUAGGGAGCAAGCGUUGUCCGGAAUUACUGGGCGUAAAGGGCGCGUAGGCGGGCGCUUA
rnacentral:rRNA from 1 species